rnacentral:rRNA from 1 species
UACGGAGGGGGCUAGCGUUGUUCGGAAUUACUGGGCGUAAAGCGCACGUAGGCGGCUUUGCAAGUUAGAGGUGAAAGCCCGGGGCUCAACUCCGGAAUUGCCUUUAAAACUGCAUCGCUAGAGUUGUGGAGAGGUAAGUGGAAUUCCGAGUGUAGAGGUGAAAUUCGUAGAUAUUCGGAAGAACACCAGUGGCGAAGGCGACUUACUGGACACAUACUGACGCUGAGGUGCGAAAGCGUGGGGAGCAAACAGGG